rnacentral:rRNA from 1 species
UGCGUAGGCGGUUUAAUAAGUCUGUAAUCAAAGACUCGGGCUCAACUCGAGGUCGGUUAUGGAAACUGUUAAACUAGAAUCUUUCAGGGGAAGCUAGAAUUUCUGGUGUAGGGGUGGAAUCUGUUGAUAUCAGAAAGAAUACCAAAGGCGAAGGCAGGCUUCUAGGAAAUGAUUGACGCUGAGGCACGAAAGUGUAGGGAGCAAACA